GACGAACGCUGGCGGCGUGCUUAACACAUGCAAGUCGAACGGAAAGGCCCUGCUUUUGUGGGGUGCUCGAGUGGCGAACGGGUGAGUAACACGUGAGUAACCUGCCCUUGACUUUGUGAUAACUUCAGGAAACUGGGGCUAAUACCGGAUAGGAGCUCCUGCUGCAUGGUGGGGGUUGGAAAGUUUCGGCGGUUGGGGAUGGACUCGCGGCUUAUCAGCUUGUUGGUGGGGUAGUGGCUUACCAAGGCUUUGACGGGUAGCCGGCCUGAGAGGGUGACCGGCCACAAUGGGACUGAGAUACGGCCCAGACUCCUACGGGAGGCAGCAGUGGGGAAUAUUGCACAAUGGGCGGAAGCCUGAUGCAGCAACGCCGCGUGCGGGAUGACGGCCUUCGGGUUGUAAACCGCUUUCGCCUGUGACGAAGCGUGAGUGACGGUAAUGGGUAAAGAAGCACCGGCUAACUACGUG
rnacentral:rRNA from 1 species